rnacentral:rRNA from 1 species
CCAUGCAGUCGAGCGCCCCGCAAGGGGAGCGGCAGACGGGUGAGUAACGCGUGGGAAUCUACCUUUUGCUACGGAAUAACUCAGGGAAACUUGUGCUAAUACCGUAUGUGCCCUUCGGGGGAAAGAUUUAUCGGCAAAGGAUGAGCCCGCGUUGGAUUAGCUAGUUGGUGAGGUAAAGGCUCACCAAGGCGACGAUCCAUAGCUGGUCUGAGAGGAUGAUCAGCCACACUGGGACUGAGACACGGCCCAGACUCCUACGGGAGGCAGCAGUGGGGAAUAUUGGACAAUGGGCGCAAGCCUGAUCCAGCCAUGCCGCGUGAGUGAUGAAGGCCCUAGGGUUGUAAAGCUCUUUCAACGGUGAAGAUAAUGACGGUAACCGUAGAAGAAGCCCCGGCUAACUUCGAGCCAGCAGCCGCGGUAAUACGAAGGGGGCUAGCGUUGUUCGGGAAUACUGGGCGUAAAGCCGCACGUAGGCGGAUCGAUCAGUUAAGG